UACGUAGGGGGCAAGCGUUGUCCGGAAUCAUUGGGCGUAAAGAGCGCGUAGGCGGCCAACUAAGUCGGACGUGAAAUCCCCAGGCUCAACCUGGGAACUGCGUCUGAUACUGGAUGGCUUGAAUCCGGGAGAGGGAUGCAGAAUUCCAGGUGUAGCGGUGAAAUGCGUAGAUAUCUGGAGGAAUACCGGUGGCGAAGGCGGCAUCCUGGACCGGCAUUGACGCUGAGGAGCGAAAGCCAGGGGAGCAAACGGG
rnacentral:rRNA from 1 species